CGGGACACGUGGUAUCCUGUCUGAAUAUGGGGGGACCAUCCUCCAAGGCUAAAUACUCCUGACUGACCGAUAGUGAACCAGUACCGUGAGGGAAAGGCGAAAAGAACCCCGGCGAGGGGAGUGAAAAAGAACCUGAAACCGUGUACGUACAAGCAGUGGGAGCACGCUUCGGCGUGUGACUGCGUACCUUUUGUAUAAUGGGUCAGCGACUUAUAUUCUGUAGCAAGGUUAACCGAAUAGGGGAGCCGAAGGGAAACCGAGUCUUAACUGGGCGUUAAGUUGCAGGGUAUAGACCCGAAACCCGGUGAUCUAGCCAUGGGCAGGUUGAAGGUUGGGUAACACUAACUGGAGGACCGAACCGACUAAUGUUGAAAAAUUAGCGGAUGACUUGUGGCUGGGGGUGAAAGGCCAAUCAAACCGGGAGAUAGCUGGUUCUCCCCGAAAGCUAUUUAGGUAGCGCCUCGUGAAUUCAUCUCCGGGGGUAGAGCACUGUUUCGGCAAGGGGGUCAUCCCGACUUACCAACCCGAUGCAAACUGCGAAUACCGGAGAAUGUUAUCACGGGAGACACACGGCGGGUGCUAACGUCCGUCGUGAAGAGGGAAACAACCCAGACCGCCAGCUAAGGUCCCAAAGUCAUGGUUAAGUGGGAAACGAUGUGGGAAGGCCCAGACAGCCAGGAUGUUGGCUUAGAAGCAGCCAUCAUUUAAAGAAAGCGUAAUAGCUCACUGGUCGAGUCGGCCUGCGCGGAAGAUGUAACGGGGCUAAACCAUGCACCGAAGCUGCGGCAGCGACACUAUGUGUUGUUGGGUAGGGGAGCGUUCUGUAAGCCUGUGAAGGUGUACUGUGAGGUAUGCUGG
rnacentral:rRNA from 1 species